AUCUGUGUGCAGCUGCGGUUACAGCGAGGAGAGCCCCAGGAGCAGGAGCCUCUGUCUGUGGGCCCGUCUGCGGCCCGCCCUCUCCCCCCAGAACCUUCCGCGCAGGUGCUUUCCCUAUCUCGCUCAAGCUGGACCCCAGGGCCUGAAACGGGACCAGCACAGGCAGCUCUCAGAAGAGCUCGUGGAGGGAAGAGAGGGCUGGAACAGCGAGAGGACAAGGAAAAGCCAUUUCCAACCCGAGUUUGGAAGGAGGACGCAUGGCUGCUGCCCAGCCACGGGCCUCUGGGGCCCCAAGAACUGACGUGGGCUCUUCAACCCUGGAGGCAUUUCAUAAACUUCUUACAACCAGAAAAUCAUAAUUACCAUCUCUGCAAUCAUUUCCCAUUUCUUUCCAACUGCCGUCUGUCAAGAGGUGCCGGCCGCGGAAACCCCGUGUACCUUGCGCAGUCACUAAUUAAUCCCAGAAGACGGCACCAGCUAAGUGGAAAUGCGUUAUUUGAAAAAGAUGGAAGGAAACCAGCCGCCAUAAGAAACCAGAGAGGGAGGGCAACUCUUUGCGUCACUGUGGAAAACCAAAACGAUGGAGGAGAUGGUUUGCAAAACGCAAACUCAAACUCAGUCCCUGACAGUAAGUGCUGGAAAUAGCAGUUCCAGCGUGGAGACUUUUCAAUGGCGGCCUUGGGACUGCGCGGCUCUGGGGACAUUUCUCAGUGUCACGUGGGGCGUUUUUACUCACUGUUCACUUCUGGACGCUUUUAGAAAAUCUGAAUUUUCUGUUUCUCAACUCAGUUUCUUUCUCUUCUGCCCCCAAAUCACGCGUUCUCUUCUCUCUGAGUGAAUUGCUAAAUAGGAAGGACAUCUAUCUCUACAUGGUC
rnacentral:lncRNA from 1 species